UAGCUCAGUGGUAGAGCCCUUGCCUAGCAUGCAGGGGGCCCUGGGUUCAAUCCCCAG
rnacentral:tRNA from 1 species